GAUGAACGCUGGCGGCGUGCUUAACACAUGCAAGUCGAACGAAGCACUUUAUUUGAUUUCCUUCGGGACUGAUUAUUUUGUGACUGAGUGGCGGACGGGUGAGUAACGCGUGGGUAACCUGCCUUGUACAGGGGGAUAACAGUUGGAAACGGCUGCUAAUACCGCAUAAGCGCACAGCAUCGCAUGAUGCAGUGUGAAAAACUCCGGUGGUAUAAGAUGGACCCGCGUUGGAUUAGCUAGUUGGUGAGGUAACGGCCCACCAAGGCGACGAUCCAUAGCCGACCUGAGAGGGUGACCGGCCACAUUGGGACUGAGACACGGCCCAAACUCCUACGGGAGGCAGCAGUGGGGAAUAUUGCACAAUGGGCGAAAGCCUGAUGCAGCGACGCCGCGUGAGCGAAGAAGUAUUUCGGUAUGUAAAGCUCUAUCAGCAGGGAAGAUAAUGACGGU
rnacentral:rRNA from 1 species